rnacentral:rRNA from 1 species
UACGUAGGGGGCAAGCGUUGUCCGGAAUUAUUGGGCGUAAAGAGCUCGUAGGCGGUCUGUCGCGUCUGCUGUGAAAACUCGGGGCUUAACCCCGGGCCUGCAGUGGGUACGGGCAGACUAGAGUGCGGUAGGGGAGACUGGAAUUCCUGGUGUAGCGGUGAAAUGCGCAGAUAUCAGGAGGAACACCGGUGGCGAAGGCGGGUCUCUGGGCCGUAACUGACGCUGAGGCGCGAAAGCAUGGGGAGCAAAAGGG